UUUCCGUGUUGGCUUGGCUUGGCGUCCCAUGUCCCAUUUCUUCAUCGACAUUCAACAUUGAAGCAUGUCGAUCGAUUCCUCUUUCGUGAAAAAAAAGGAUACACUCAAGAUGGUUAUCAUUUGUAGAACACUCUACAACAUCCCUGGUGCUGGCUUAAUAAACAUCAGGAAAAUGAAUAUUCAAAUCGGCAACCAAUUCCUUGGAUUUACAGCUACAUGAAACUUUUUAUGACUUUGAACAAGCUUGGUUGAAAAUAAAUGUUCUUUGUCGAAUCUGCUACAGAUUCCUAAUUCACAAAGGAAUAAAAGGAUUAUAAAUCUACAGGAGAAGAGUGAUGUUAUACAAGAUGGAGAAGAGAUUACACCUGUUCAUCGAUAAUCUUCAAUGUUGCAAUGAAAAUAAUUUAUUAUUCUAUCCUAUAGCAUAUAUUUAUUUUCAUAAA